rnacentral:antisense_RNA from 1 species
UUCUAUGGCAAGCCGUGGUGGGGAUACCUUCGGGUAUGCCGGUACCUCUAUGCCGGUUCGCCAACCCUGCCACGUGCUUGCCACCCCC